GACGAACGCUGGCGGCGUGCUUAACACAUGCAAGUCGAACGGAAAGGCCUUUUCGGAGGUACUCGAGUGGCGAACGGGUGAGUAACACGUGGGUGAUCUGCCCUGCACUCUGGGAUAAGCCUGGGAAACUGGGUCUAAUACCGGAUAGGACCGCACUUUAGUGUGUGUGGUGGAAAGUUUUUUCGGUGUAGGAUGAGCCCGCGGCCUAUCAGCUUGUUGGUGGGGUAAUGGCCUACCAAGGCGGCGACGGGUAGCCGGACUGAGAGGUUGGUCGGCCACAUUGGGGCUGAGAUACGGCCCAGACGCCUACGGGAGGAAGCAGUGGGGAAUAUUGCACAGUGGGCGCAAGCCUGAUGCAGCGACGCCGCGUGGGGGAUGACGGCCUUCGGGUUGUAAACUCCUUUCGCCAGGGACGAAGCGUUUUGUGACGGUACCUGGAGAAGAAGCACCGGCUAACUACGUG
rnacentral:rRNA from 1 species